GCGCCCUUCGUCUAUCGGUUAGGACGUCAGAUUUUCAUUCUGCUGAAAAGAGGGGUUCGACUCCCCUAGGGCGUGCCA
rnacentral:tRNA from 1 species